rnacentral:tRNA from 1 species
GGGCUUGUGGUCUAGCGGUUAUGAUACCGCCUUUACAAGGCGGGGAUCGGCGGUUCGAAUCCGCCCAAGCCCA